rnacentral:rRNA from 1 species
UACAGAGGUGGCAAGCGUUGUUCGGAAUUACUGGGCGUAAAGGGCGCGUAGGCGGCCAUCUAAGUCAGACGUGAAAUCCCCCGGCUUAACCUGGGAACUGCGCCUGAUACUGGACGGCUUGAGUAUGGGAGAGGGAUGUAGAAUUCCAGGUGUAGCGGUGAAAUGCGUAGAUAUCUGGAGGAAUACCGGUGGCGAAGGCGGCAUCCUGGACCAUUACUGACGCUGAGGCGCGAAAGCUAGGGGAGCAAACGGG